GACGAACGCUGGCGGCGUGCCUAAUACAUGCAAGUAGAACGCUGAAGGAGGAGCUUGCUUCUCUGGAUGAGUUGCGAACGGGUGAGUAACGCGUAGGUAACCUGCCUGGUAGCGGGGGAUAACUAUUGGAAACGAUAGCUAAUACCGCAUAAGAGUAGAUGUUGCAUGACAUUUGCUUAAAAGGUGCAAUUGCAUCACUACCAGAUGGACCUGCGUUGUAUUAGCUAGUUGGUGGGGUAACGGCUCACCAAGGCGACGAUACAUAGCCGACCUGAGAGGGGGGUGGGGCAAACUGGGACUGAGACAAGGCACAGAGUCCGAGGGGAGGGAGCAGUAGGGGAUCUUCGGGAAUGGGUGGAAGUCUGACCGGGGAAGGGCGGGGGAGUGAAGAAGGUUUUCGGAUUGUAAAGAUCUGUUGUAAGGGAAGAAAGAGAGUGGGAGUGGAAAGUGCACACUGUGACGGUAUCUUAUCAGAAAGGGACGGCUAACUACGUG
rnacentral:rRNA from 1 species